rnacentral:piRNA from 1 species
AUUGGCCUUUUAGAUAUCAGUUAC